rnacentral:lncRNA from 10 species
UUCCUUCCUUCUUUCUUUCUUUUUUUUUUUUUAGACGGAGUCUCGCUCUGUCACCCAGGUUGGAGUGCAGUGGUGCAGUCUUGGCUCACUGCAAGCUCCGCCUCUGGGUUCACGCCAUUCUCCUGUCUCAGCCUCCCGAGUGGCUGGGACUACAGGUGCCUGACGCCACACCCAGCUAAUUUUUUGUAUUUUUUGUAGAGACAGGGUUUCACCGUAUCAACCAGGAUUCUCCCUUCCUUCUCUGCUCCCCUCCCCUCUCCUCUCCUUUCCUUUUCUUUCUUUUUCGGACAGAGUCUUGCUCUGUUGCCCAGGCUGGGGUGCAGUGGCUAUUCACAGGUGUGACCCCAGGACAGAUCAGCAUGAGAGCUUUGACCAGCUCCGUCUCUGACUUGGGUAGGUUCAGCCCUCCUUAGGCAACCUGGUGGUCCUCCCAGUCCAGGGAGGUCAUCAUAUUAAUGUAGACGCUGGAUCAGCAUAGCUCACUACAGCUCAGAACUCCCGAGCUCAAGCAAUCCUCCCGCCUCAGCCUCCUGAGUAGCUGGGACCACAGGUGUGCACCACCACACCGGGCUACUUUUUGUAUUUGUAGAGACAGGGUCCUUUUUGUUGCCCGGGCUAGUCUUGAACUCCUAACCUCAAGCAAUCCUCCUGCCUCAGCCUCCCAAACUGCUGGGACUACAGGUGGGUAACACUAUGCCCAGCCACUUGCAAUUAUUAAUGGCAUUGUCAGCCGGGCGCCGGGCGCGGUGGCUCACGCCUGUCUUCCCAGCACUUUGGAAGUCCAAGGCAGGUAGAUCACCUUAGGUUAGGAGUUCUAUAUCAACCUGGCCAACACGGUGAAACCCUGUCUCUACUAAAAAUAUGAAAUGAGCCGGGUGUGGUGGCGUGAGCCUGUAGUGCCAGCUGCUUGGGAGGCUGAGGCAGGAGAAUCGCUUGAACCCGGGAGGUGGAGGUUGCAGCAAGUUGAGAUCACACCACUGCACUCCAGCCUGGGCAACAGAGCAAGACUCUGUCUCAAAAACAAACAAACAAACAAAGAAAAAACCCUGUG